rnacentral:lncRNA from 1 species
AAUUAUAUGGCUCACCAUUCUGAUCAUCCCUAUCAAUAACAUACAUAUUAUGACUACGUAACCGAACUAGAUCAACAUUAGAAAAAUUGAUAUCUUUCUUGGGUGUAGCCUUGUCUACCUUAUCAAUGUCUUCAAUAGUUUGGUCUUCCAUGAAUACCCCAUCGCGACUUCGAAUAAGCUUCUUCCCUAUAGGAGCAUACAACCUGUAACCAAACUCAUCUUACCCAAGCCAAUGAAGAUACAUUGUUUUGAC